ensembl:snRNA U6 U6 spliceosomal RNA
GUGCUCACUUCAGCAGUACAUAUACUAAAACUGGAACAACACAAAGAAGAUUAGCAUGGCCCCAUGCAUAAGGCUGACACAUAAAUUCAUGUAGCAUUCCAUAUUUUU